rnacentral:lncRNA from 10 species
AAUUCUUGUCCAGUGCCCAAGAAGAAUGAGGUCAUGCAGACAAAUCAAAGGAUGGCAAGUCACCUCUUUCUGACGUCCAGCCACUGUCUCUGAAGUCAAGUCACCUCUUUCUGAUGUCCAGCUGCUUCUCUGAAGUCAAGUCACCUCUCCCUGUGAUCCAGCCACUUCUCUGAAGUCAAGUCACCUCUCCCCGACAUCCAGCCAUGUCUCUGAAGUCAGGUAAUCUCUCUCCAAUGUCCAG